rnacentral:rRNA from 1 species
AGCCCCCACCAGUGGAGGGAGCCUGUUGCUUUAUCUCAACCCAGGAAAACUAACCCCCCCCGCCCGCUGACAGGAAGGAUUGAUUGAUAGAUCUUUCUUUCUUGAUUCAGUGGGUGGUGGGGCAUGGCCUUUCCUUACGUGGCGGAUUGAUUGGUUAGGUCCAUUCCGAUAACAAACGAGACCCUACUCUGCUAAAUAUACUGUACCUCACCUCGCUGACGGUAACAGGACUUCUUAGAGGGACAGGCGCAGACGCACCCGCACGAAACAUAACAAGAAUAGGUCUGUGAUAUACUUUGAUGUCCGGGGCCGCACUACACGCUACCUGCAGUGAUCAGCAUGUACCCUCUUUCCGCUUUGAGAAUAACGCGAAGCCCCUUGAACCUUCUUCAGAUUAGGCAUUGGGUUAUUGACCAUUGCCAGUAAUUCACGAAUUCCCAGAGUAAUUAAACAAUAAGACAAGUUGAAUGCCCUUUUGCACACUGCCCCUACCCUACUACCCCUUCCACCCUUUGAAGG